CUGAUGAAUAUUUCAAGUUACUGACAUCUGCCCGGCAUCAAUGAUAAACGGCGGCUGUAUUUUAAACGGUCCUAAGGUAGCAAAAUUCCUUGUCGGGUAAUCUCCGUCCUGCAUGAACGGUGUAACGACUUCCCCAUUGUCGCUAGUGUGAGACUCCUAAUAAAUAGAAUUAUCCAUGAAUAUGUGGAAUCAUACGGCCCGACGGUAAGACCCUGAGCACCUUAACUUCCCUAAAAGUUCUUAUGUGUUGGCAUGGUUACGAGAUUUAAGGAU
rnacentral:ncRNA from 1 species